rnacentral:rRNA from 1 species
GGAGCAAUACCGCGUGAGGGAUGAAAGCCUGUGGGUUGUAAACCUCUUUUCUCAAGGAAGAAAUUCUGACGGUACUUGAGGAAUAAGCAUCGGCUAACUCUGUGCCAGCAGCCGCGGUAAUACAGAGGAUGCAAGCGUUAUCCGGAAUCACUGGGCAUAAAGCGUCUGUAGGUUGCUUGCCAAGUCUGCUGUUAAAGAUCAGGGCCUAACCCUGGGAAAGCAGUGGAAACUAGUAGGCUUGAGUGUGGUAGAGGUAGAGGGAAUUCCUGGUGUAGCGGUGAAAUGCGUAGAUAUUAGGAAGAACACCAAUGGCGAAAGCACUCUACUGGGCCAUAACUGACACUGAGAGACGACAGCUAGGGGAGCAAAUGGGAUUAGAUACCUCAGUAGUCCUAGCCGUAAACGAUGGAUACUAGGUGUUGCACGUAUUAACCCGUGCAGUAUCGUAGCUAAGGCGUUAAGUAUCCCGCCUGGGAAGUACGCUCGCAAGAGUG